CUCUUUAUUUCUUUCCUUACACACAUUGAAACGAAGGGGCUACAGGGAGUACCGUUUUAAAAGAAGAGGAAAGUCGAAGGAAUUGGUAUUUUUGCUUCAUGUAGAUCAUUUGUGGAACUGUAUUUUUAAAGUAGGCAAUGAUGCAGUUCAUGUUGCUUUUCAGUCGCCAAGGAAAGUUGAGGCUUCAAAAGUGGUAUGUUCCAUUAUCCGAUAAAGAAAAGAAAAAGAUCACCCGGGAACUUGUCCAGACAGUACUGGCUCGAAAGCCCAAAAUGUGUAGCUUCUUGGAAUGGCGUGACCUGAAGAUUGUGUACAAAAGGUAUGCAAGUUUGUAUUUCUGCUGUGCCAUUGAAGAUCAAGACAAUGAGCUAAUAACCCUUGAAAUUAUACAUCGCUACGUAGAACUGUUGGAUAAAUAUUUUGGCAGCGUAUGUGAACUGGAUAUAAUCUUUAACUUUGAGAAGGCCUAUUUCAUCCUCGAUGAGUUUCUUUUAGGAGGAGAAGCACAGGAGACUUCAAAGAAAAAUGUCCUUAAAGCAAUCGAGCAGGCAGAUCUUUUGCAGGAGAGCCAAAAUGAAGACUGGGGAGGUUUAUCUUCUGAUGAUAUCUUAUAAUUGAAAAUGAGUCUGAGACUUUGUCCUCUCAGAUGCCCUCCCAACUGUGGGAUGCUAAAGAAGCCGAGACUCCCAGAAGCGUUCUUGAAGAGAUCGGGCUGACAUAAACCUUACACUUCAACCUUGGCCCUUUUGAUCCUUUUUCUUUGUUUACUGCCUUUUUUGUGUCUUGCUAAUGUUAUGCUAAUUGUUCUGUCUGUGCUGUGUGUCAGUAUUCGGAAACAAAUUUCCAGCAGCUUAAAGAAAGGAGGACAAAAAAGGGAAGAUGGAAAUGUUUCUGCCUUUGCUAUAAUACUGCCUUAAGGUUUUUUUUUUUUUGUUAGUCACAAUGCACACGUAAAGCGAUGCUGUUUCAUAAAGAUUUGUUCCAAGCGGUAUUCAUUAUAAUAUCCCUUCUGAAAUAUGUUUCCUUUUUUUAUUCUGUGUGAUGUCAGUAAUCAUUUUUUUCAUGAAGGUGCUUAAUUUUGUAUUUUCAAGUCACUUGAGUGACAUGUAGCUCAACUGUAAAGCUGAAGUGUGCUACCCACUGGUACCACUAGUGGGCAGAGCAUGUGGGCUUGCAGCGUCGUAGUCUCUCUGAAACGCUUUUGUCUGCCCAUUAGGUGAAGUCUUCAAUUUGGCUUUUUGUACGUAGUGAGUGGGUUCAAAAACACAUGAUGAAUGAAGCUUUGGGGGGGUUUUAGUGUUCACAACCAAAGAAGCACUGUGUUGGCAUUCAUCUGCUUGCUUUUUUUCUGUUUUGCUGGUUUUGUUUUUUUGUUUUUAUUUUAUUCAUGUCCAAAAAGGCUAUUAUUUGCAGUUGUGGGGGAAAAAACCUAUAAAAGUGUUGGAAACUCUUAAGUGACAAUGUCACAACAAUAAACCAAAGAAUUCCUUCCUGUGGGCAUUAAUGGCCCUUUCUACUACCAGUACAGCCAGUAUUUACUGAAGGUCAACACUAAACCAGGAGAUGGCGUAGGUGGCUUGGCAAUUUCAAUGUUUCUAGUAUUUUUGCUCACUCUAAGGUGGCUCGAACCCUGGCAGAGCUUGUUUGAAGUCGGGCAUCUUCUUCAUCAGUUCAAGUGUAACACAUCCAGUUCCACAGGUCACUUCUUCUUCUUCUUCUUCCAGUAUUGUGUCCCAUAUAAAAUGCCGCUGAACCUUGCUGUGCAUAUUCUUUUGUAUUACUGUCUCUGUGAAGGAAUAAACAGUGAUUGGUGUUCAAAAUAAUAAACCCUUUCCUUGCACCAGA